CUUCAUGAUUUAAAUGUUUUUUGAAUUUUUCAUUUUACAUGAUUUUUAUAGCUACAUGAUAUAAUUGGUAUAAUUCAUCUCAUCACACAUAUAUAGUAAAGUUCAAUGAAAUAUUUACCAUAAAAAAUAAUAUGGAGGUAACCUCCUAUGAAGAUCUAACUAAUAAAAUAACAUGCUAAAAGUAGAGGCUCACCUGGCAUUUUGGCAUAAAAUUGAUGCAAAAGAUUAAGUAUAGUUUUGAUGGUCUCUGGCAAAAAGGCAAAAAAUGAUAAAAUUGUUUAUCAAGGGCAAUAACUCAUAUUGACUGACGAUUUCAGCCACGUUGACUUAUUUGUCCUGAUUGAUGUUUUUUAUGUUAAUAGUUUUCUGCAAAUAACACAAAAAUGUUAUGUGUAAAAUUUGUAUUUUCAGAGCAAUUUAGCAAAAGUGUAGAUUUUGUCCAACUGACCAUUGUUGCCAUUUACAAUUCAUCUAGGGCAAUAACUCCCAUACAUAACUGACAAACAAUCUCAUCCAUAAUGGAUGAUGAUGGAAGUUUUUAACGAUCUAGACUGGAUAUACAGACCUUGCACGGUCAGUCUCAUCCAGGAAAACUUAUUCAUAGAUAGUUUUUGAUGAUAAAUUUAUGCUACUAACAUUUUUUUCUAUCUACUAUUCUCUCCACAAAAGCACAAAAAUGGAUAACCAUCUUUCAGGGGCAAUAACUCCUAUAGGUCAAAUGAAAAUAUCAGCCAUGUUCACCUUUAUGUAGAUAUUGUAAUGAUAAUUGUAGUUGUUAGCAGUUUCCACUAAAAACACAAAUAUGGAUGAAAUUUAUCUUUCCAGGGCAGUAAUUCCUACAUGGAGUUAUUUCUACCAUGAUGAUAUACACAGAACUUGUAGAUUUCCUGUUCAAUGUAUCUAUUAUAGUUUCAAUGAUAAUAGCCAUAUUUGCAUUUAAAAGUUCUCAUUUAAGGGCAAUAUCUCCUAUCACAAGUGUCCUUGAAUGGAAAUGUUGAUUGGCAAGUGGAAUCAUCAAAUUCAUUUGUUAAACCAAAGAAUAAUUUGGGUCAAGUUUGGUUCCAAUAAGCACAUAGUUUCAAAGGAAAAGUUUUUUGGAAACGUCAACAAAAGACCAUGAACACCAAGUGAGCUAAAAAUAUACAUUUUUUAGAAUAGAUAUUUGGCUGAAAAAAACUAAGUUUAAUAUAAAUUCUCAACUCAACAGUCUCUAAAGAAACUAUCUGUCAUUUUAAAUAUCAUUUAAAUAAAAUACAAGAAAAUAUUAUAAAAAAAACAUUUGCUUGAAUCCUUUGGUCAUACUUUUACAGUGUUCAGGAUAUUGAAAAAUACUUUAUGAAUAUAUUGUAACAAUUAUGAAGCACUGUCAUUUAAAAAUAGAAAUCUUUGGAAUAUUUAUUACUGACAUUGUAAACUAGAGGCUCUAAAGAGCCUACGUCGCUCACCUUGGUCUAUGUGAAUAUUAAACAAAGGAAGCAGAUGGAUUCAUGACAAAAUUGUGUUUUGGUGAUGGUGAUGUGUUUGUACGUCUUACUUUACUGAACAUUCUUGCUGCUUACAGUUAUCUCUAUCUAUAAUGAACUUGGCCCAGUAGUUUCAGUGGAAAAUGUUAGUAAAAAUUUACAAAUUUUAUAAAAAUUGUUAAAAAUUGACUAUAAAGGACAAUAACUCCUUAGGGGGUCAGUUGACCAUUUCAGUCAUGUUGAUUUAUUUGUAAAUCUUACUUUGCUGUACAUUAUUGCUGUUUAAAGUUUAUCUCUAUCUAUAAUAAUAUUCAAGAUAAUAACCAAAAACAGUAAAAUUUCCCUAAAAUUACCAAUUUAGGGGCAGCAACCCAACAACGCGUUGUCCAAUUCAUCUGAAAAUUUCAGGGCAGAUAGUAUUUGACCUGAUAAACAAUUUUACUCUGUCAGAUUUGCUGUAAAUGCUUUGGUUUUUGAGUUAUAAGCCAAAAACUGCAUUUUACCCCUAUGUUCUAUUUUUAGCCAUGGCGGCCAUCUUGGUUGGAUGGCCGGGUCACCGGACACAUUUUUUAACUUAGAUACCCCAAAGAUGAUUGUGGCCAAGUUUGGAUUAAUUUGGCCCAGUAGUUUCAGAGGAGAAGAUUUUUGUAAAAGAUAACUAAUCUUUACGAAAAAUGGUUAAAAAUUGACUAUAAAGGGCAAUAACUCCUAAAGGGGUCAACUGACCAUUUCGGUCAUGUUGACUUAUUUGUAGAUCUAACUUUGCUGAACAUUAUUGCUGUUAACAGUUUAUCUCUAUCUAUAAUAAUAUUCAAGAUAAUAACCAAAAACAGCAAAAUUUCCUUAAAAUUACCAAUUCAGGGGCAGCAACCAAACAACCAGUUGUCUGAUUCAUCUGAAAAUUUCAGGGCAGAUACAUCGUGACCUGAUAAACACUUUUACUCUGUCAGAUUUGCUCUAAAUGCUUUGGUUUUUGAGUUGUAAGCCAAAAACUGCAUUUCACCCCUAUGUUCUAUUUUUAGCCAUGGCGGCCAUCUUGGUUGGUUGGCCAGGUCAUGCCACACAUUUUUUAAACUAAAUACCCCAAAGAUGAUUGUAGCCAAGUUUGGAUUAAUUUGGCCCAGUAGUUUCAGAGGAGAAGAUUUUUGUAAAAGAUUACUAAUCUUUACGAAAAAUGGUUAAAAAUUGACUAUAAAGGUCAAUAACUCCUAAAGGGGUCAACUGACCAUUUUGGUCAUGUUGACUUAUUUGUAAAUCUUACUUUGCUGAACAUUAUUGCUGUUUAUAGUUUAUUUCUAUCUAUAAUAAUAUUCAAGAUAAUAACCAAAAACAGCAAAAAUUCCCUAAUAUUACCAAUUCAGGGGCAGCAACCCAACAACGGGUUGUCGGAUUCAUCUGAAAAUUUGAGGGCAGAUAGAUCUUGACCUGAUAAACAAUUUUACCCAUGUCAGAUUUGCUUUAAAUGCUUUGGUUUUUUGAGUUAUAAGCCAAAAACUGCAUUUUACCCCUAUGUUCUAUUUUUAGCCAUGGCGGCCAUCUUGGUUGGUUGGCCGGGUCACCGGACACAUUUUUUAAACUAGAUACCCCAAUGAUGAUUGUGGCCAAGUUUGGUUUAAUUUGGCCCAGUAGUUUCAGAGGAGAAGAUUUUUGUAAAAGUUAACGACGACGGACGACAACGGACGACGACGGACGCCAAGUGAUGGGAAAAGCUCACUUGGCCCUUUGGGCCAGGUGAGCUAAAAAUGUGACUAUAACAUCCUCCUUACUACCACCAAAUAUUCGUAGCAUUCCCAAAAUAUUGCUAUUACCAUUCUCUCGUACAAACAAACAUGCAUAGUAUUACCAAAUAUGGCUCUCUACCCUUUUGCUAUCAACUUCAUAUACAAUUCUAAAUAUAAAAUACUUAGUUCACUCCCUUUAUACAACUAACUACACAUUUAAAGCAUGAUUACUUAUAACUGAUUUAUUUAAGAUUCAUAACACUAAAUAUCAAACAAUAAUAUCACUGAGAUAGAACAAAGUUAUUCCUGUUAUCAAUAUUGAAAUAUUAAAAUAUGUAUAAAAUAUAUAAAGUUCACCAACACAGGUUAGAAUGAAUACUUGUAAUAACACAAUAGGUUGUGAUUAUUAUUUAACAAGGAUAUAUGACCAUACCCUGCUAAACACCCAUCCCCAACCACACAAUCAGUUUAAUCAGGUUUCAAAGUAACUUGGCACAUAAUUUUAAAUAAAGGCAACAUUAGUAUACCACUGUUUAAAAGCCAUAAAUCCAUUCAGAGAAAACAAAUCUGGAUAAUAAACUAAAACCGAGGGAACACAUCAACUAUAAGAGGAAAACAACAAAACAACAGACACACUGAACUGUAAAAAAUAAUUUCUGAAUUAACAGUAUGACUUUCUUUACUACAUACAUUUUCAAGUACAGUAAUAGACAACACAGAUUUGUGUUUCAGCCUAAAACAGGUAUUCAAAUAUAAAAUAUAGGAGAGCCUUAGUGUAGUGGUUUGCGCAUAAGACUACUAACACAAAGGCUCUGGUUUGAUCCCCGCUCCAGGGAGAAAAUUUCAGAGACUGAAUUUUUGGCUCUCCCUUGACACCAUUUGUGAGUAUGGUUUUGAGAAACAAUGAUAGUCCGUCAGAAGGUGACGAUAAAUGGCUGACCCCUGUUAAAAGAGAGCCAUAUUUCUUGCAGGUAAAACACCCCGUUGUAGAUUUUGAAAAAGAGCAGGCUAAUGCCGCUACAAGGCAGCACUCACACUAGCAAAGUGGAAAGGGAUUAAUAUAAGUUGAAAUAACAUGUUUGCCAAUCCACUAUAAAUAAAUAUGUUUAUUAAACUACGGUAAAUAUCAGCUGUAUCAUAAUGAGACAUAUAUGCAAUGUAAUUAUUGAGUUCUAACAAUCAUUAACAAACUUUUGAGACCAUCUAAAGUCAGUUCACUUGCUCACCUUAGACCUUUGUUUUGAAAGUAUAAAUAUGAAGUUCAAUCAAUAUUUUAUAUUAGAUAAAUAUAUAUUCAUAUGUAGCUUUGAGUUAAAACAUCACAACACUUUUCCCUGAAAUCCUUAUACCUGGUCUUGCAUAAUUUACCAAACCUCCUCAACUAAUAUAAUUUUAAAGAGAUCAAAGAACAUUAUACUGUGAAAGUACUUUUAUUCGUGGGGUACCAAUUUUUGUGGUUUUCGACUUUAUCCACGAAUUUAAGUGUCCAACGAAAUUAAACAACAAUUGUCCAAACCCAAGAUCCCCAUGUAGGUUUAACUACUGAUAUGACUUAGAGAAUAUAUUGAAUAACACCAAAUCUGAGAAUACUCUAAUAGCAGUCACAGAACAACAACUACAUGCAGGAUUAUACCCAUUUAAUCUUUAAUAACCUAAACUGCACAACUUUUAAGUGUCAUAAAAAAUAUUUUUUAAUCGAUGAAAGCCAGAUUUCCAGUAUUAAUAUGCUUGUAUGAUAAAGUGUUCAUUUUAUAUCCUCAUAGUUCUUGUACAUAUGGGAAAAAAUAAUUUCAUGCUGGGCUUGAUUUUGAUAAUAAUUAUUUGACAAUCCAAGAUACGUUUAUAGCAUUUGUUUAUGAUACUGAUUUCUUUAGGUGACAUGUUUAUGGCCUAAUCAACACCUUUGAUGGUCUUUAAUCUGUUGAUUACUUUAUCUUGGGUUAAUUAGUGUUGCCACUACGAUUAACACCAGUCAAUGUUUACUUUGCAAUUUCUUCAAUCUAGACUAUUAGUAUUUGUAACCUUUGUUCCUAAAGGCUUUAGUUUUCAAGUUUUUCUUUUUUUAGAAAACUAAAAUCCACGAAUUUAAAAA
rnacentral:lncRNA from 1 species